rnacentral:lncRNA from 1 species
UUUUGUGAUAGGAUCUCAUUUUGCGGCCGGCUUGUUUGGCUGGCAGGGAUUCACAGAGAUGUUCCUUAAUUCAGGUGUUCACCACCACUCCUGGCCUGGGGCAGGAUUUGAUAUCAGUUUAGGGGAGCAUUUUAGGGAAGACCCUUCCCGAAACAUCCCCAACAGUCUUGUCAGGUUUGGCUGUAGAAUGCACUUAGGACAGUCUUUGAUGAGAGCUAUUUCUCACCUCACCUCCAGAGACCACUUCCCAAGCACCACCGCCAUCCUCUGCCAUGGAGCUGGAAGAGAAGUCUGGUGCACCAGGUGACAAAGAGGCACAGGUGUUCCCUCCUGCUAACGCCCUACCAGCCAGGAGUGAGGCAGCCGAGGUGCAGCCAGUGAUCGGGAUCAGUCAGCUUGUGAGGAUGAACUCCAAGGAAAAAAAAGACCUAGGAACUCUGGGCUACGUGCUGGGCAUUACUAUGAUGGUGAUCAUCCUCGCUAUUGGAGCUGGCAUUAUCGUGGGCUACACUUACAAGAGGUGGGUCCUUUCUCCUCCUGGAUCUCUCGGGAUAGGGCUAAGGAAGACAUGAAAACAAUAUCACAUCAGCUUCUUGGCGUCUUUCAAAAGGAAGUAAGGCAUUGAAUCAAAAUCAGCUCAAUAGUAGAGAUUUGGUUUUAGUCACUGCCUGGUGAUCUUGGGCCCUCAGGGCAAGGAAUCCUCCUGUCUCAACCUCUUGGAAAAUGGGAUUUCUGAGCCCUUGUCAUCAUGCUCCGAAGGAAAAGAGAUUCAUUUUGUUGAGUUUUAAAAUUUUGCUACUAAGAUAGGUGUCCUGCUUCAUACAUACUCUAAUCCCAGAACUCAGGAGACUGAGGCAGGAGGUUUACAAGUUUGGAAACUGAGGCUCUGUUUCAAAA